CAGCAGUAGGGAAUCUUCCACAAUGGGCGAAAGCCUGAUGGAGCAACGCCGCGUGGGUGAAGAAGGUCUUCGGAUCGUAAAACCCUGUUGUUAGAGAAGAAAGUGCGUGAGAGUAACUGUUCACGUUUCGACGGUAUCUAACCAGAAAGCCACGGCUAACUACGUGCCAGCAGCCUCGGUAAUACGUAGGUGGCAAGCGUUAUCCGGAUUUAUUGGGCGUAAAGGGAACGCAGGCGGUCUUUUAAGUCUGAUGUGAAAGCCUUCGGCUUAACCGGAGUAGUGCAUUGGAAACUGGGAGACUUGAGUGCAGAAGAGGAGAGUGGAACUCCCAUGUGUAGCGGUGAAAUAGCGUAGAUAUAUGGAAGAACACCAGUGGCGAAAGCGGCUCUCUGGUCUGUAACUGACGCUGAGGUUCGAAAGCGUGGGUAGCAAACAGGAUUAGAUACCCUGGUAG
rnacentral:rRNA from 1 species